rnacentral:snoRNA from 1 species
CUGCAGUGAUGACCAUCUUAGGACACCUUUGGAUGAACCAUGAAAACAAACCUUUAAAUCUGAGUGGC